CAUCAAUAUCCCUAUAGAAAAUCAUAAUUUCAUGAAUAACCCUCUAAAUUAGAAAAUAUCAUCAAUAUCCCUCUUAAAACUAAAAAUAUUCACACAUACCUUUUAACUUAACUUUCCGUCAAGAAGUCAUCCAAUAUUUUGUAAAUACCAAUUUUAACCCUAAAAUAAAUUUAAUAAUGUAAUAUUUAAAAUUAAUUAUAUGAUUAAUUUUUAAUAUUUGAAUUACAUAAUAAUUUAACAUUUUUUUUAAAAUUUUACAAUUAAAGAUCUAUAGUCUAUUGAGUGUGAUAGUUAAAUCUUAUUAUGAUUUUUCGCUUUUAAGUUAUACAUAGUUGUAAUGCAAUUGUCCAGAGUAGUAUUCUUCAUUAUUAUUUUAAAAUAAUCUUAAUCUAUUACAAAAAAUAUAAUUUUAAUCCAUUAUAAAAAAAAUAGAGUUUAGAUUUUAAUAUAUAAUUAAUUUUUAAAAAAGGUCGAGUGUGGUGGUAUUUGAGUUCGACAAUUUAGAAAGAAAAAGUCAAGAAUAAAUAAAAUAAAGAUCUAACGUAACUUGUGUUACAUUACUUUCUGCACUUACACCAAAAUAAACACCGAAAGUGACGAGUUCCAACCAGCGAAACAAACAUGCCCAAAUACUU
rnacentral:lncRNA from 1 species